rnacentral:rRNA from 1 species
AUGACACACAUUUUGCCUAAACAUAAUUCUGUUGCCUAUCACGACCUCAAAGUGCUCCUGAAGCAAGCUGCUGUGUGUUGUGUGUACAAGCUGUACACUGAAUUGUCCAUGCGGAAAGACACAGCAGCAGAUCAUACAAUCUACGCCAUGGAGCCGCUGGUGGAGCUCGACGUGGACGAGCGCCAGAAGGAGCUGUGCAUGAUGCCCAAACGUGGCGCCAAGGCCUUCCCCGUCCGCACCCGAGGUAGGCAACGACUUGCGUCACUACCAAGUUGCUACAAGCAUACAAGGCCUUCCGUGUUCAAGCUGAAAAGGCAAGAAGAUUUCAUUAUUAACAUGGAUAAAAAAGGUGGAUCGUCUUCUUCAGUAGAAGUACACAAUGGUUGGCUGAAGCUUUGGAGUGCUAAAGUUCCAGGAAAGGUAAAAAUACAUCUUUGGUGUAUUUUUUUUCAGAGUAUUUAUGUUGGAGAUGAGCUUAAGAGAAGAAAGUUAAAGAUAUGGGUAGGUUGGCUGGUCAUCUAA